UUGAACGCUGGCGGCAUGCCUUACACAUGCAAGUCGAACGGUAACAGGUCUUCGGAUGCUGACGAGUGGCGAACGGGUGAGUAAUACAUCGGAACGUGCCCGAUCGUGGGGGAUAACGCAGCGAAAGCUGUGCUAAUACCGCAUACGAUCUACGGAUGAAAGCAGGGGACCGCAAGGCCUUGCGCGGACGGAGCGGCCGAUGGCAGAUUAGGUAGUUGGUGGGAUAAAAGCUUACCAAGCCGACGAUCUGUAGCUGGUCUGAGAGGACGACCAGCCACACUGGGACUGAGACACGGCCCAGACUCCUACGGGAGGCAGCAGUGGGGAAUUUUGGACAAUGGGGGCAACCCUGAUCCAGCCAUUCCGCGUGAGUGAAGAAGGCCUUCGGGUUGUAAAGCUCUUUCGGCAGGAACGAAACGGUGCGGGCCAAUACCCCGCAUCAAUGACGGUACCUGAAGAAGAAGCACCGGCUAACUACGU
rnacentral:rRNA from 1 species